rnacentral:rRNA from 1 species
CUACGUGCCAGCAGCCGCGGUAAUACGUAGGGCGCGAGCGUUGUCCGGAAUUAUUGGGCGUAAAGAGCUUGUAGGCGGUUUGUCGCGUCUGCUGUGAAAGGCCGGAGCUUAACUCCGUGUAUUGCAGUGGGUACGGGCAGACUAGAGUGCAGUAGGGGAGACUGGAAUUCCUGGUGUAGCGGUGGAAUGCGCAGAUAUCAGGAGGAACACCGAUGGCGAAGGCAGGUCUCUGGGCUGUAACUGACGCUGAGAAGCGAAAGCAUGGGGAGCGAACAGGAUUAGAUACCCUGGUAGUCCAUGCCGUAAACGUUGGGCACUAGGUGUGGGGAACACUCCACGUUUUCCGCGCCGUAGCUAACGCAUUAAGUGCCCCGCCUGGGGAGUACGGCCGCAAGGCUAAAACUCAAAGGAAUUGACGGGGGCCCGCACAAGCGGCGGAGCAUGCGGAUUAAUUCGAUGCAACGCGAAGAACCUUACCAAGGCUUGACAUGC